GAGAAGGGGCAGGCAGUGAGGUUUGUUCUGGCACAGGGGGCUGUGGUGUGAACUCUCACAACCUUUCUACGCUCCUCGUCUACAUGACGACCUGACCCCACUUCUCAACCAUCUCCUGAACUUACCCUCCCUAUUCCGCGUGAGAAACCAAGCUAACGAGGCCUAGCUUAAGACAUCUGGAAAUGCAACCUGAAUUCAAGAAAAAUCAGCACUUUAGUUCUUGCAGCUAAACCAGCAUCAGUGAUGAGGGAAUGGAAAUAAAAAAGGACUUCAGAGAAAAGGGAAGCAAGCCCUUGGAAUAAGGCGUGAAUGUGGAGAACAGACAAAUCAUCUUUAGCACAUGGGCUGCUCCACUCAUCAGGGAACAGAUUCCAGGUCCUAAAUAAAGCCCCAGAGAGCACACAUGGGAAGUUCCAGCUUGUGCAUAAAACAACAAAGGCGCCAGGACCUAGAGUCAUCAACAGCCACUCAGGUGACUUGGUUUCUGAGU